rnacentral:lncRNA from 1 species
AUCACCUAUACAGUUUAAUUCAAAAUUCUUAGUCAACUUGUCCAAAGCUUAAGUAACAAAUCGAAAAGACUAGUAGUGCACAAUAUUCACCAAGCCAGUUCCCACAGUUCAACACUAUAUAGAUCAUGACGAGACGUGAUGUACCCAAUUUGUAUCAGCUCCGUUUUCGAGGAAAAAGUGAACAGAUAUACGACUGACUAUUUCAUCUGCCAAGACAGCAUACCACGAAAACUGGCUUCGGCUCUAGUGAUAUACAGACAGAACGACUAGGUAGAUAUAUGGUUCUUCGCACUAGAAGACAAUCGCUUUUGGUGACUUUUUACAUAAAUAAAACUUGGCUGUUUUGCAUCGGUUUAGAUUUUAACAUCUACAUGUAACAGAAAUACAAAAAUAUAUCAAGUAAUGGAAUAAAUUACUAAAAUGAG